GACGAACGCUGGCGGCGUGCCUAAUACAUGCAAGUAGAACGCUGAAGAGAGGAGCUUGCUCUUCUUGGAUGAGUUGCGAACGGGUGAGUAACGCGUAGGUAACCUGCCUUGUAGCGGGGGAUAACUAUUGGAAACGAUAGCUAAUACCGCAUAACAAUGGAUGACACAUGUCAUUUAUUUGAAAGGGGCAAUUGCUCCACUACAAGAUGGACCUGCGUUGUAUUAGCUAGUAGGUGAGGUAACGGCUCACCUAGGCGACGAUACAUAGCCGACCUGAGAGGGUGAUCGGCCACACUGGGACUGAGACACGGCCCAGACUCCUACGGGAGGCAGCAGUAGGGAAUCUUCGGCAAUGGGGGCAACCCUGACCGAGCAACGCCGCGUGAGUGAAGAAGGUUUUCGGAUCGUAAAGCUCUGUUGUAAGUCAAGAACGAGUGUGAGAGUGGAAAGUUCACACUGUGACGGUAGCUUACCAGAAAGGGACGGCUAACUACGUGCCAGCAGCCGCGGUAAUACGUAGGUCCCGAGCGUUGUCCGGAUUUAUUGGGCGUAAAGCGAGCGCAGGCGGUUUGAUAAGUCUGAAGUUAAAGGCUGUGGCUCAACCAUAGUUCGCUUUGGAAACUGUCAAACUUGAGUGCAGAAGGGGAGAGUGGAAUUCCAUGUGUAGCGGUGAAAUGCGUAGAUAUAUGGAGGAACACCGGUGGCGAAAGCGGCUCUCUGGUCUGUAACUGACGCUGAGGCUCGAAAGCGUGGGGAGCGAACAGGAUUAGAUACCCUGGUAGUCCACGCCGUAAACGAUGAGUGCUAGGUGUUGGAUCCUUUCCGGGAUUCAGUGCCGCAGCUAACGCAUUAAGCACUCCGCCUGGGGAGUACGACCGCAAGGUUGAAACUCAAAGGAAUUGACGGGGGCCCGCACAAGCGGUGGAGCAUGUGGUUUAAUUCGAAGCAACGCGAAGAACCUUACCAGGUCUUGACAUCCCGAUGCUAUUUCUAGAGAUAGAAAGUUACUUCGGUACAUCGGUGACAGGUGGUACAUGGUUGUCGUCAGCUCGUGUCGUGAGAUGUUGGGUUAAGUCCCGCAACGAGCGCAACCCCUAUUGUUAGUUGCCAUCAUUCAGUUGGGCACUCUAGCGAGACUGCCGGUAAUAAGCCGGAGGAAGGUGGGGAUGACGUCAAAUCAUCAUGCCCCUUAUGACCUGGGCUACACACGUGCUACAAUGGUUGGUACAACGAGUUGCGAGUCGGUGACGGCAAGCUAAUCUCUUAAAGCCAAUCUCAGUUCGGAUUGUAGGCUGCAACUCGCCUACAUGAAGUCGGAAUCGCUAGUAAUCGCGGAUCAGCACGAAACGGUGAAUACGUUCCCGGGCCU
rnacentral:rRNA from 1 species